CUACGGGCGGCUGCAGUGGGGAAUUUUGCGCAAUGGGCGAAAGCCUGACGCAGCAAUACCGCGUGAGUGAAGAAGGCCUUUGGGUCGUAAAGCUCUUUUCUGAAGGAAGAUAGUGACGGUACUUCAGAAAUAAGCACCGGCUAACUCCGUGCCAGCAGCCGCGGUAAUACGGAGGGUGCAAGCGUUGUUCGGAUUUACUGGGCGUAAAGGGCGCGUAGGCGGCAUAGCAAGUUAAGGGUGAAAUCCCGGGGCUUAACUCCGGAACUGCUCUUAAAACUGCUAAGCUAGAGAUAGUCAGAGGCGGGUGGAAUUCCUAGUGUAGAGGUGAAAUUCGUAGAUAUUAGGAGGAACACCGGUGGCGAAGGCGGCCCGCUGGGGCUUAUCUGACGCUAAGGCGCGAAAGCGUGGGGAGCAAACGGGAUUAGAUACCCCUGUAGUC
rnacentral:rRNA from 1 species